AUACCUUUCUUGGCCUUUUGGCUAAGAUCAAGUGUAGUAUCUGUUCUUAUCAGUUUAAUAUCUGGUAUGUUAUAGGUUAUAGUGAUAAGGUAGGUGGUGAAAAGGCAGGUGGUUAGGCAGUUAAC
rfam:Gossypium arboreum cultivar AKA8401 contig_59659_1, whole genome shotgun sequence.